rnacentral:rRNA from 1 species
GACGAACGCUGGCGGCGUGCUUAACACACGCAAGUCGAACGGAUCACGAGGCUUCGGUUUUGUGGUGAGUGGCGAACGGGUGAGUAACACGUGAGUAACCUGCCCCGGACUUUGGGAUAACGGCUCGCAAGGGCUGCUAAUACCGAAUGUUGAAUCCUUGUCGCAUGGUGGGGGUUUGAAAGUUUUUUCGGUUCGGGAUGUGCUCGCGGCCUAUCAGCUUGUUGGUGGGGUGAUGGCCUACCAAGGCGUCGACGGGUAGCCGGCCUGAGAGGGCGACCGGCCACACUGGGACUGAGAUACGGCCCAGACUCCUACGGGAGGCAGCAGUGGGGAAUAUUGCACAAUGGGCGGAAGCCUGAUGCAGCAACGCCGCGUGCGGGAUGAAGGCCUUCGGGUUGUAAACCGCUUUCAGUCGGGACGAAGUUGACGGUAUCGACAGAAGAAGCACCGGCUAACUACGUGCCAGCCGCCGCAGUAAUAC